CAAGUAUUGGUGGCAAACUUAUUUCCGCAGUCUUCCUGACCUUGGCUGUAUUUAUUGUCUCACUUCCUGUUCCUUUCAUCGAAGACAAACUACUACAUCAACAACAUCUUCAAUUGACAGAAGAUCGUUUAGAGAUGAGAUUAAAACGAAUACUUAAGACAAAACAAAGUCAUCGUGGCAGUAACAGGACACGACGUGGUACGGCUAGCAAUAUCCACGCUGCAACCACGUGACAUAUGGAAAGCUUUAUCUCCAAAUGCAGGAUAGUGGUAUCUUUGCACGCGGGAUGUUGCGAGACUUUUGGAAAGCGGAAAAGGCACGAGCCGCAGGCGAGUGUGUUUUACGCUUUCCGAAAGUCGAGCGGCAUUCCAAGUGCAUAGGGGACACUAUCCUGCGUGGAAAUCAUUUGGCAAUUUUUUAAUAAAAUAACUACAGUGAAACAAUAAUUAACUUUAUUGAAACGUUUAAGUACUAACACGAGUAGGACUGCUUUAUCAAAUAUCGUGUUUACUUUUUCGUGAUACUCGUGUUUUAAAUGGCCUAAAAACGACACAUCUGAUGAGUUCAUUAGCGAAG